GAAAGGCGCCUUAGUCCAAGGGUCUCAGCUCACUUGCUGAGCGCUGUGGGAAGGUCACAUGACUGGUGGGUCGGACGGUGGCCCGCAAAAGCCAAUCCUGUAAGCGUCUGGGCGCCGCUGGAGGCGGGAGUAGAUUCAGCGUCUUUGGCCCUCUGGACUCCAUCGCUGUGGUCUACGUAGGCUCAAGCUUCUGUGUCUGUUGUGGAAACCUCUUCGCUAGUACGUCUCACAGAAACGUUAUUACUCAGAAAAAAUACGUGGAAAAUCUAGCCAUAUCCCACUGUCAAAGUGAGGACACUAAGGAUAAGAAAUUACAAGAAAAGCUGCUAUGAACGUUCAGGAAAGACAUAUUGCACUUCCCCUGUUUCAGUGUUUUCCAGAGACUUUCUCAGAAGUAAUUUAGGUGGAAAAAGAAGAAGGACAGAGACUUUUCUAGAAGCCACAAAGUAAAAUUUGCUCAGACUCUCAUGCUUAAAAAGUGC
rnacentral:lncRNA from 1 species